rnacentral:rRNA from 1 species
UCCAGGAAAAGCCUCUAAGCAUCAGGUAACAUUAAAUCGUACCCCAAACCGACACAGGUGGUCAGGUAGAGAAUACUCAGGCGCUUGAGAGAACUCGGGUGAAGGAACUAGGCAAAAUGGUGCCGUAACUUCGGGAGAAGGCACGCUGGCAUUAGGUAAAGAGACUUGCUCUCGGCGCCGAAGCCAGUCGCAGAUACCAGCUGGCUGCAACUGUUUAAUAAAAACACAGCACUGUGCAAACACGAAAGUGGACGUAUACGGUGUGACGCCUGCCCGGUGCUGGAAGGUUAAUUGAUGGGGUCAGCCGCAAGGCGAAGCUCUUGAUCGAAGCCCCAGUAAACGGCGGCCGUAACUAUAACGGUCCUAAGGUAGCGAAAUUCCUUGUCGGGUAAGUUCCGACCUGCACGAAUGGCGUAAUGAUGGCCAGGCUGUCUCCACCCGAGACUCAGUGAAAUUGAACUCGCUGUGAAGAUGCAGUGUACCCGCGGCAAGACGGAAAGACCCCGUGAACCUUUACUAUAGCUUGACACUGAACAUUGAGCCUUGAUGUGUAGGAUAGGUGGGAGGCAUUGAAGUGUGGACGCCAGUCUGCAUGGAGCCAACCUUGAAAUACCACCCUUUAAUGU